rnacentral:sRNA from 2 species
UGCACAAUAAAGCUGAAUCUAGGUUACCUAGAGCGGGGGACUUUUCUUGUGGGGUGAAUCGUGCAUCAACGCGUAGGGCUUACACCUUAAUGCCCAAACCCGUCAACUAACUUCGUAAGCUAAGAAAGGUGAAAAC